rnacentral:rRNA from 1 species
AUUGAACGCUGGCGGCAGGCUUAACACAUGCAAGUCGAGCGAGCGGCGGACGGGUGCGUAAUGUCUGGGAAACUGCCUGAUGGAGGGGGAUAACUACUGGAAACGGUAGCUAAUACCGCAUACCAUCAGAUGUGCCCAUAUGGGAUUAGCUAGUAGGUGGGGUAAUGGCUCACCUAGGCGACGAUCCCUAGCUGGUCUGAGAGGAUGACCACCCACCAUGGAACAGAGAAACAGUACAGACUCCUACGGAAGGCAGCAGUGGGGAAUAUUACAAAAGGGGCGCAAGCCUGAUACAGCCAGGCCGCGUGUGUGAAGAAGGCCUUCGGGUUGUAAAGCACUGUCAGCGAGGAGGCGUUACUCGCAGAAGAAGCACCGGCUAACUCCGUGCCAGCAGCCGCGGUAAUUC